AACAGGUUGGCAGAUAGAUGUAUUUGACUUAGGAUCAAAAGAGGGAGUGGUUGGUGCUCCACCUGUUU
rnacentral:tRNA from 1 species